AUAUCUUGAUUUAUUGUUCUAAUUAGAGAAAAGCAUAUUUUGAUCACAACUCUGGCUCUUCCAUUCUUCUCAAAAGAAAGAGACUGUUUUUAGUGUUGAGUUCAUCUCAGAAAACAUAAGGCUUAUACAAAACUUGUGAUUAUUUAAAGUGGAAAUAAAUCCUAAAGGCAACCUUUGGAAAAAAGCUUAUAAAAUUGAAGUGUAAUCUACAAGAUGAACGUUUUAGGGUUAAGUGGUUUGUGCUACAUAUCUUAGUGUGUGCAUUUCAAGACUGUCAGGCUACCUGACAGACUGAUGACCUCAAUUUGCUUUGCUUUACUCCGGCUCAUCAGUGAUAAUCAGUGAAAUAUUAGCUUACUUGAUUCUUCAAAGCUGCAUUCAAACACAAGAAAAUCUUCUCAAAAUAGACAAACCAUUUAGGUUUAUUCAGCAUGACUGUGUCUUUUUACUAACAUAAUAAAACUCAAUGAAAGACCAAGGAGAACUUUUAAUUCAUGGUGGAGCAUAGUUUUCUAGAUGCAUAGCGCCUUGGCAAAGAGGAUAAAGAGAUUAUAAUCCAUUUUGAUUUGAAUCUUAAAAAAGAAUCUAAAGACUUGUGUAAAUCCAGUAAUUUAAAAGCUUUUGCAAUGAUGUACAUGAACAACUGUUAAACCUGCUAUUAGUAACAAUUUACUUGUAAUGAAUUAGACUUAAAAGUAAUUUAAUUAAACCAUCAGCUGAAAUUCACAACAGUUGCUAUAGUUGAGCCUAUAAGCCCUCAGAAAAUUAAACCCCUCCCAGUGCUGGAUGUCACCAGACAAGAGCUUUUUACCCUAUUAUUGUUUUAGUAUAUGUUUUUAUGGUUGCAAAAGUGAAAAUGAGCAUGUAUAUUAAGGCAAUUAAAUAAUACAAUACACCUGCUGA